CCGAGUUACAACUCCCAACCCCCUGUGAACAUACCACUUGUUGCCUCGGCGGAUCAGCCCGCUCCCGGUAAAACGGGACGGCCCGCCAGAGGACCCCUAAACUCUGUUUCUAUAUGUAACUUCUGAGUAAAACCAUAAAUAAAUCA
rnacentral:misc_RNA from 1 species